ensembl:lncRNA
UAAUUGAGAUCACCUGUCACGCACCCCUUUAUCAAAGGUGAACACAAUGUGUUUGGUUUACUUUUCGCAUCGGCCUGUGUCAAUCAAGGUUGAGUUUAGUGAGGGUUGAAAGUUUUCGAUCUAGAUUGCAGAUCACUAUUGUCACUUUAUACAAACUGAAAGUAUGCGUUGUUGCGUGUUUGUUUUUGUGGGCAUUUGACUGAACAGCCCAGACAAAUAUUGCUACCAACAUGGCACUUCGAAACAGACCACCGCAGUCCUGUCACAGAGCAUCACCAGCAAGAUUUAUGUCAAUUAGUUUGCAGGGAUUGAAAAAAGGCAAAAUCAAGUACAGCGGUUCGGAGCCCUUAUUAAAUCCAGAGGAGGUCAACUCUGCCAGCAGGAGCACCUAGCGACCACACGUCGAAUGUCAAAAUGUUUCUUCUUGUUAAGUAGUGCCUUCCAACUGCCGCAUGAAUGGAAUGACAAAUGUAUCCUCAGUUUUUGAAUUAAAAACAUGUUUACUUUCUUGUU